rnacentral:rRNA from 1 species
GGCUACACACGUGCUACAAUGGCAUAUACAAAGAGAAGCGACCUCGCGAGAGCAAGCGGACCUCAUAAAGUAUGUUGUAGUCCGGAUUGGAGUCUGCAACUCGACUCCAUGAAGUCGGAAUCGCUAGUAAUCGUAGAUCAGAAUGCUACGGUGAAUACGUUCCCGGGCCUUGUACACACCGCCCGUCACACCAUGGGAGUGGGUUGCAAAAGAAGUAGGUAGCUUAACCUUCGGGAGGGCGCUUACCACUUUGUGAUUCAUGACUGGGGUGAAGUCGUAACAAGGUAACCGUAGGGGAACCUGCGGUUGGAUCACCUCCUUACCUUAAAGAA